rnacentral:lncRNA from 1 species
CUGGAGCGUGAGCGGCUUGCCAUUGUUGAGUCCCCUUCUCUGCGUCUCUUUGUGUGCGUGUGCGUGUGUGCUGCUGGGGCUUUCGCGUCCCGUGUGGUCUCUUUCUUCUCCCUCCUCUUCUUUUGGUUGUGCGCGGAACAGCGG